rnacentral:rRNA from 1 species
UGGGGAAUUUUCCGCAAUGGGCGGAAGCCUGACGGAGCAACGCCGCGUGAGGGAGGAAGGCUUUUGGGUUGUAAACCUCUUUUCUCAAGGAAGAUAAUGACGGUACUUGAGGAAUCAGCAUCGGCUAACUCCGUGCCAGCAGCCGCGGUAAUACGGAGGAUGCAAGCGUUAUCCGGAAUAAUUGGGCGUAAAGCGUUCGUAGGUGGUUCUGUAAGUCUGCUGUUAAAGCGUGUAGCUCAACUACAUAUAGGCAGUGGAAACUACAAAACUAGAGUGCGUUCGGGGCAGAGGGAAUUCCUAGUGUAGCGGUGAAAUGCGUAGAGAUUGGGAAGAACACCAGUGGCGAAGGCGCUCUACUGGGCCGAGACUGACGCUGAUGGACGAAAGCUAGGGGAGCGAAAGGGAUUAGAUACCCCCGAAGUCC